AAUGAUUGUACAUUCUUUUAAUAUUCAAUAUAAUUAUCAAUAUAUACAGUGAAGAAAAACCUUGUCAUAAAGUUUUGCAUACUAAUAGAGGGCAUCGAAAAUGUCAAUGAAUAUAUGUUCCAAACGCCACCUUUUUCGUAUUAGACCCUUUAAAAUUAACCAAUCACAAUCGAGCAUGCGAAGUGCCAUUGCCAAGCGUUUCGCUUUCGAUUAUGAUUGGUACCGGUACCAUUUAGACCGUAUGUUCAUCGGAAUCAUGUUGAGGAAUUUUCUUUCCUAUAGUAGGAAAGAAAAUUGUGCCGUUC
rnacentral:lncRNA from 1 species